rnacentral:rRNA from 1 species
UACGGAGGGGGCUAGCGUUGUUCGGAAUUACUGGGCGUAAAGCGCACGUAGGCGGCUUCGUAAGUUAGAGGUGAAAGCCCGGAGUUCAACUCCGGAAUUGCCUUUAAGACUGCAUCGCUUGAAUCAUGGAGAGGUGAGUGGAGUUCCGAGUGUAGAGGUGAAAUUCGUAGAUAUUCGGAAGAACACCAGUGGCGAAGGCGACUCACUGGACAUGUAUUGACGCUGAGGUGCGAAAGCGUGGGGAGCAAACAGG